AUACGUAGGGGGCAAGCGUUAUCCGGAUUUACUGGGUGUAAAGGGAGCGUAGACGGCAAAGCAAGUCUGAAGUGAAAGCCCCGGGCUCAACCCGGGAAUUGCUUUGGAAACUGUUUAGCUGGAGUGCAGGAGAGGUAAGCGGAAUUCCUAGUGUAGCGGUGAAAUGCGUAGAUAUUAGGAGGAACACCGGCGGCGAAGGCGGCUUACUGGACUGUAACUGACGUUGAGGCUCGAAAGCGUGGGGAGCAAACAGGAUUAGAUACCCUGGUAGUCCACGCCGUAAACGAUGAUUACUAGGUGUUGGUUGUCAUAGACAAUCGGUGCCGCAGCAAACGCAAUAAGUAAUCCACCUGGGGAGUACGUUCGCAAGAAUGAAACUCAAAUGAAUUGGCGGGG
rnacentral:rRNA from 1 species